rnacentral:lncRNA from 1 species
CAGUCAGUAACUGUGAAAUCACAAUAGCAUCUGAGAUAUUUUCAAGGUGCUACCUACAGUCUCCAUGGAAGCAUUCUUCUGGCUUGUCACUUGAGUCCUGUCAUGGUUUAAGACUGCAUUACAGUUUGGAGACUAAAUGGAUUUGGAUACCAAAACGCUCUAAUCCCAGAUGUACACAAUUUUAUGAAUUACACUACUCCCCUUUUCCAUGGGAGAGGCAAUGAGGUCCACGAAGAGAGUCUGGCAGGGAUUUGGAAACAAACUUGGAGCAAAUGCACAUUACAGUGAAGAAUCAGAAUGUCCCAAGUUAUUAACUGGUGUAAGACAGAUAAGCUGAUUUUGCCAGUAAAGAAUGCAUAUAUUUCACCUCCUCUAAAAUGAGUGAUGUAUGAAAUGAAGCCUUGGAUUUAAAUUCUAAAUUUCAUGAAAUGUACAGAAGCAUGAAUUUGGUGCUCAAAGACUGAUUUCUAGAAGAGCAGAAGCCUUCACACCACGUAAAACACAGAAGUCCCACUGAAAACACAUGCAUUCUGCCUGCAAAGCCCCACGUAUCAAGAUUUCAGUGAGGGUAAUUGCAAGUCAUGACUGGAGUCAAAAUUAAUCUGCUAAACUACUUUUCACAUGUAUUCACAAUCUGUGCACUAGCAAUACCAGACAAUUUAGAGAUUUUCAAGUGAGCAGUUAACUGACUUGGAUUUGUAAACACUUAAAAAAAAUUCUUGCAACUUAAGGAAAUCUUAUUAUGAUUGGGGGAAAAUUCCUAUCCUUUCUCCUCAUACGAGGCAGCCAGAAAACUUGAAUGCUUUAAAUUCCUUGAAUUUAAAGGAGCUUGAGAUGUGUUUUGAAAUAAUAAAUGCAUUUCCUCUUCCUGUCUCUAUUCCCA